rnacentral:siRNA from 1 species
UUAGAAUCUCCAGGGUGCAA